rnacentral:rRNA from 1 species
ACAAACCAAUUGAAUUUGGCAGUCAUAAAUUUCUAAAGAAACUUGUUUUUUGAUCGAUAACACACGUUAAGUUUAACUUAAUAAUUUACAUACCGCCGUAUAAAAAAUCAAAUAAUAAAUUUUUAUUUAAAUAACCGUUAUUAAUUCAGGUCAAGGUGUAAUACAUAUAAUAGGUAAAAUUAGUUACCAAUAAUCCUUAAUUAAAAAGAUUAACAAAUCAAAUAACAAAUUAGAAUUUAAAAUCAAAUAACUAUUUAAAAUAGUUUGUUGAAAAAACAACAAUGAUAC